ACUGCUGGCUUCAGCAGUAUAGACACUAAAAUUGAAAUGGUACAGAGAAGAUGGGCUUCUGCACAAGAAUGACAUGUAAACUCCUGAUACAUCCCGUGUUUUC